rnacentral:tRNA from 1 species
CCUGGCUCAGAUGGUAAAGUGUCUGCCUGCAAUGCAGAAGACAAGGGUUCAAUCCCUGGG